GUUUUUAUAAUUUAUCUAAAAUAUUGAUUUUGUAAAUCAAAAAUAAGUUCAACUUUGAAAACU
rnacentral:tRNA from 1 species